rnacentral:rRNA from 1 species
AGGCACUACGGUGCUGAAGUAACAAAUGCCCUGCUUCCAGGAAAAGCCUCUAAGCAUCAGGUAACACGAAAUCGUACCCCAAACCGACACAGGUGGUCAGGUAGAGAAUACCAAGGCGCUUGAGAGAACUCGGGUGAAGGAACUAGGCAAAAUGGUGCCGUAACUUCGGGAGAAGGCACGCUGAUAUGUAGGUGAAGUGAUUUACUCAUGGAGCUGAAAUCAGUCGAAGAUACCAGCUGGCUGCAACUGUUUAUUAAAAACACAGCACUGUGCAAACACGAAAGUGGACGUAUACGGUGUGACGCCUGCCCGGUGCCGGAAGGUUAAUUGAUGGGGUUAUCCGUAAGGAGAAGCUCUUGAUCGAAGCCCCGGUAAACGGCGGCCGUAACUAUAACGGUCCUAAGGUAGCGAAAUUCCUUGUCGGGUAAGUUCCGACCUGCACGAAUGGCGUAAUGAUGGCCAGGCUGUCUCCACCCGAGACUCAGUGAAAUUGAACUCGCUGUGAAGAUGCAGUGUACCCGCGGCAAGACGGAAAGACCCCGUGAACCUUUACUAUAGCUUGACACUGAACACUGGUCCUUGAUGUGUAGGAUAGGUGGGAGGCUUUGAAGUGUGGACGCCAGUCUGCAUGGAGCCAUCCUUGAAAUACCACCCUUUAAUGGCUGGUGUUCUAACGUGGACCCGUAAUCCGGGUUGCGGACAGUGUCUGGUGGGUAGUUUGACUGGGGCGGUCUCCUCCUAAAGAGUAACGGAGGAGCACGAAGGUUAGCUAAUCCUGGUCGGACAUCAGGAGGUUAGUGCAAAGGCAUAAGCUAGCUUGACUGCGAGAGUGACGGCUCGAGCAGGUGCGAAAGCAGGUCUUAGUGAUCCGGUGGUUCUGAAUGGAAGGGCCAUCGCUCAACGGAUAAAAGGUACUCCGGGGAUAACAGGCUGAUACCGCCCAAGAGUUCAUAUCGACGGCGGUGUUUGGCACCUCGAUGUCGGCUCAUCACAUCCUGGGGCUGAAGUAGGUCCCAAGGGUAUGGCUGUUCGCCAUUUAAAGUGGUACGCGAGCUGGGUUUAGAACGUCGUGAGACAGUUCGGUCCCUAUCUGCCGUGGGCGCUGGAGAAUUGAGGGGGGCUGCUCCUAGUACGAGAGGACCGGAGUGGACGCAUCACUGGUGUUCGGGUUGUCAUGCCAAUGGCAUUGCCCGGUAGCUAAAUGCGGAAGAGAUAAGUGCUGAAAGCAUCUAAGCACGAAACUUGCCCCGAGAUGAGUUCUCCCUGAGACUAUAAGUCUCCUGAAGGAACGUUGAAGACGACGACGUUGAUAGGUCGGGUGUGUAAGUGUAGCGAUACAUUGAGCUAACCGAUACUAAUGAACCGUGAGGCUUAACCUU